AUGUCGGGAGGCGCCGGUGGGACGGUUGCCACGAAUAGACAUGAAACCCCCUGUCAAAUGGAGUGCCGCCGCGGCCCGGGCGAGUGGUAC
rnacentral:ncRNA from 1 species